rnacentral:rRNA from 1 species
UACGGAGGGGACUAGCGUUGCUCGGAAUCACUGGGCGUAAAGCGCACGUAGGCGGAUUGCUAAGUCAGGGGUGAAAUCCUGGAGCUCAACUCCAGAACUGCCUUUGAUACUGGCAACCUUGAGUCCGGGAGAGGUGAGUGGAACUGCGAGUGUAGAGGUGAAAUUCGUAGAUAUUCGCAAGAACACCAGUGGCGAAGGCGGCUCACUGGCCCGGUACUGACGCUGAGGUGCGAAAGCGUGGGGAGCAAACAGG